AGUGGCGACCGGGUGAGUAACACGUGACUAACCUACCUUCGAAGUGGGGGAUAACCUAGGGAAACCUGGGCUAAUACCGCAUAACAUCUUUGGAGUGGAAACUCUGGGGAUCAAAGGGGCAAUUCGCUUGAAGAGGGGGUCGCGGCUGAUUAGCUAGUUGGCGGGGUAACGGCCCACCAAGGCUUUGAUCGGUAGCCGGCCUGAGAGGGCGCACGGCCACACUGGAACUGAAACACGGUCCAGACUCCUACGGGAGGCAGCAGUGGGGAAUUUUGCGCAAUGGGGGAAACCCUGACGCAGCAACGCCGCGUGGAGGAUGAAGUCCCUUGGGACGUAAACUCCUUUCGACCGGGACGAUAAUGACGGUACCGGUGGAAGAAGCCCCGGCUAACUUCGUGCCAGCAGCCGCGGUAAUACGAGGGGGGCAAGCGUUGUUCGGAAUUAUUGGGCGUAAAGGGCGCGUAGGCGGUGCGGUAAGUCACCUGUGAAAUCUCCGGGCUUAACUCGGAGCCUGCAGGCGA
rnacentral:rRNA from 1 species